rnacentral:rRNA from 1 species
UACGUAGGUGGCGAGCGUUGUCCGGAUUUACUGGGCGUAAAGAGCGCGCAGGCGGCUGGUCAAGUCCGAUGUGAAAGCUCCCGGCUUAACUGGGAAAUUGCAUCGGAAACUGAUCGGCUGGAAGGUGGGAGAGGGUAGCGGAAUUCCCGGCGUAGUGGUGAAAUGCGUAGAUAUCGGGAGGAACACCAGUGGCGAAAGCGGCUACCUGGCCCAUUCUUGACGCUGAGGCGCGAAAGCUAGGGGAGCAAACGGG